rnacentral:rRNA from 1 species
UGGGGAAUAUUGCACAAUGGGCGCAAGCCUGAUGCAGCAACGCCGCGUGAAGGAAGACGGUUUUCGGAUUGUAAACUUCUGUUCUUAGUGAAGAAUAAUGACGGUAGCUAAGGAGCAAGCCACGGCUAACUACGUGCCAGCAGCCGCGGUAAUACGUAGGUGGCAAGCGUUGUCCGGAAUUACUGGGUGUAAAGGGAGCGCAGGCGGGUGAUCAAGUCAGCUGUGAAAACUACGGGCUUAACCCGUAGACUGCAGUUGAAACUGUUCAUCUUGAGUGAAGUAGAGGUUGGCGGAAUUCCGAGUGUAGCGGUGAAAUGCGUAGAUAUUCGGAGGAACACCGGUGGCGAAGGCGGCCAACUGGGCUUUAACUGACGCUGAGGCUCGAAAGUGUGGGGAGCAAACAGGAUUAGAUACCCUGGUAGU